GAUGAACGCUAGCGGCGUGCCUAAUACAUGCAAGUCGAGCGAAUGGAUUAAGAGCUUGCUCUUAUGAAGUUAGCGGCGGACGGGUGAGUAACACAUGAGUAACCUGCCCAUAAGACUGGGAUAACUCCGGGAAACCGGGGCUAAUACCGGAUAACAUUUUGAACCGCAUGGUCCGAAAUUGAAAGGCGGCUUCGGCUGUCACUUAUGUAUGGACCCGCGUCGCAUUAGCUAGUUGGUGAGGUAACGGCUCACCAAGGCAACGAUGCGUAGCCGACCUGAGAGGGUGAUCGGCCACACUGGGACUGAGACACGGCCCAGACUCCUACGGGAGGCAGCAGUAGGGAAUCUUCCGCAAUGGACGAAAGUCUGACGGAGCAACGCCGCGUGAGUGAUGAAGGCUUUCGGGUCGUAAAACUCUGUUGUUAGGGAAGAACAAGUGCUAGUUGAAUAAGCUGGCACCUUGACGGUACCUAACCAGAAAGCCACGGCUAACUACGUGCCAGCCGCCGCAGUAA
rnacentral:rRNA from 1 species